rnacentral:lncRNA from 1 species
AUUUAUUUCACAUUCCUCUAGCAGAUCCCACAGCGUUCAAAGGAGCGACAGCCAGAAUUGGCACAGUGGUUUCCAGUAUUUUGCUUGUAUCUGAGGAGAAAUAGGUUGUAAAGGACUCAUCAAAUGCUGUCCUCGCAAGAGUGGGAGCUGGAGACACAGAGAAGGAAGGCACUUCCCGCCAGUCUCUACUCCCCCUCCACCAGCCUUCAUGCACCUGCAGUGAACCCCAAACCCCAGAGGCUGGAAUCAACAUGGAGAGAAGCCAAUUAAUAUUUGUGAGCAGACAAAGUGAAAUCUUCAUAAAAUAUAACAGCAACCUGGAUUCAUGCUUUUUAGUGGGGAAAAAAAAUCAUUAGGAUAAUUGACUAAUAUAUGACAAGCUGCAGCUGGUUUGCCUCCUGCUGGAUCCUGGGUUUGCCCCGUGCAGAGAAAACCCCAAGAACUUUUUCAAAUAUGUCACUCAUCCCUCUUGUGACAGCUUUCACUAAAUAGUUGGGGUAGAGAGGCUCUGAAUGGUGCUUUUAUUUUUUCCAUCAAGUCAAUCUAUAUUUGCAAAAUCGAAUUAUUUUCAAGUGAAUGGAUUUUAACUUUUUACUAAAAGUCAUAGAGAACUAUAGCCUGAGAGGUGUGUAUCUUUCCUGGAAUUAGUCUGGUGACUGAAGGGGUACCAUCCAGCCUUCUUCACACCUGUUUAGAUAGGCUGUGAGCUCUGGGAAUAGAAAGGCCAGGGGUGUGGAGGUAAGCUCAGAGUUUUCCCACAACCAUGGAUGAAACCACAGGAUGUAGAGACCUGAUGAGAGGGUAAGACUAUUAUGGGCUUUUUUUUUUUUUUUUUUUUUUUCUUUUUUGGCUGCUCCUGGGGCAUGCAGAAGUUCCUGGGCCAGGGAUUGAACCUAUGCCACAGUAGCAACCUGAGCUGCUGCAGUGACAAUGCUGGAUCCUUAACCCACUAAGCUACAAGAGAACUCCUUUUUGCUGUGGCUCGGAUCACUGCUGUGACAUAGAUUCAAUUCCUGGCCCCGGAACUUCUGCAUGACACAGGCGCAGCCAAAAAGACAGAAACAGAGAGAGAAUGAAAGAGAGAGAGAGAGAGAAAAGGAUGAAGAGAAGAAAGAAGUGUGAUACUGGGGAAUCAGAGGCCCUGUGUGAGUUCAGCUAAAAUACCAAAGAUUGCUCCUGUCCCACUGAAACCAAGUUUGGAAAAGUAAAUGCAUUCAUGGAGGAGGAGUGAAAAAAUAAUAAUUCCAUUGUGUAUGACUAGGAGUGAGGGGCCGGAGUAUGGGCAUGAGCUCAGGGUGCUGCAUUUCAAUGUGCCACCACAAGUCGCCCUGGAAAUGCUAAGCUAGGUGUGUCCCUACCACAGUGAAAACUUAAAAAUUUGUAGUCCAUCAGAGACUGACACUUUUGUAAAAUCAAUUUUUAAGGAGUUAUUGGAAAAACAAGUACAUGCUUAGAUGUGGUAGCAAUGCCAGGCUAUUAUAAUGAGAGAAAUUCUUGGUCUUGAUUUCUCUACUACUUUCCACUCAGACCAGUAACACACAGUUCAAAGGUGGGCACUGGUCUGGGGACACUUAGAAACACACUUUGAAAAGCACUUGCUUGCUUCACAGAGACUGAUCCCUAAGGGUAACACAUGUGAUGCCUCCUUUAGCUUGGGAGACAUGAGCAUCCAUGGAAUAACUUUUCAAAGACAGAAAUAUUCCGGGUCUCAGCUCCUCAGAAAAGCCUCAGCACUGGAGGCAUAGAUAUAGCUUUGAAGGUGGGGGAAGGUGGUGGCGCAGAAGAUAAAGGCAGAUAAGAAUUUGUUAAAACAGAAAUGAUAACAUGAGAAAUAGUCUAGUGAUCUAAAGAUGCCUUGAGAGGAGGUAGGAAGAGCAGACAAAAGGCAUAAAUCAGAGGAGUUCAGAGAAGAUGCCCCUAACAGCAAUAGCAGACGCAAGAGGCAGAUGGCCCCUGAAAUUGCCUGGGUGGUAAGUGCUGGUUUUUGUCUAGUAUUUACCUCAAAGCCACAGUCUGAGCCCCCCUGACUCAGAGCAGGGCUGCUCAAGGCUCUAUAGAAAUGAGAAUGCCACCAUCAAUACCUGCCAGGAGGCUGAGAAGAAGGCUCAUCUCAUCACAUUUACCCGAGAAGUUACCCAUCAUUGCCCUGUAUCUAUUUUCCUGAUAGCUGGAGUCACAUGUUGUCUUUUAAUUUUACUUAUGUGUUUUGGAAGCUUCGCAGCUUCUCCGUUUAUUAAAUCUUCUUUCUGCCUCUUC